rnacentral:rRNA from 1 species
CAGGGAUUGCCCUAGUAACGGCGAGUGAAGCGGCAACAGCUCAAAUUUGAAAGCUAGCCUUCGGGUUCGCAUUGUAAUUUGUAGAGGAUGCUUUGGGUAAAACGCCAGUCUAAGUUCCUUGGAACAGGACGUCAUAGAGGGUGAGAAUCCCGUAUGUGACUGGAAAUGUUAACCUAUGUAAAGCUCCUUCGACGAGUCGAGUUGUUUGGGAAUGCAGCUCUAAAUGGGAGGUAAAUUUCUUCUAAAGCUAAAUAUUGGCGAGAGACCGAUAGCGCACAAGUAGAGUGAUCGAAAGAUGAAAAGCACUUUGGAAAGAGAGUUAAAAAGCACGUGAAAUUGUUGAAAGGGAAGCGCUUGCAAUCAGACUUGUUUAAACUGUUCGGCCGGUCUUCUGACCGGUUUACUCAGUUUGGACAGGCCAGCAUCAGUUUCGGCGGCCGGAUAAAGGCAUUGGGAAUGUGGCCUUCACUUCGGUGGAGGUGUUAUAGCCCAGUGUGUAAUACGGCCAGCCGGGACUGAGGUCCGCGCUUCGGCUAGGAUGCUGGCAUAAU